rnacentral:rRNA from 1 species
GCAGAAGAGGACAGUGGAACUCCAUGUGUAGCGGUGAAAUGCGUAGAUAUAUGGAAGAACACCAGUGGCGAAGGCGGCUGUCUGGUCUGUAACUGACGCUGAGGCUCGAAAGUAUGGGUAGCAAACAGGAUUAGAUACCCUGGUAGUCCAUACCGUAAACGAUGAAUGCUAAGUGUUGGAGGGUUUCCGCCCUUCAGUGCUGCAGCUAACGCAUUAAGCAUUCCGCCUGGGGAGUACGGCCGCAAGGCUGAAACUCAAAGGAAUUGACGGGGGCCCGCACAAGCGGUGGAGCAUGUGGUUUAAUUCGAAGCAACGCGAAGAACCUUACCAGGUCUUGACAUCCCUUGACAACUCCAGAGAUGGAGCGUUCCCUUCGGGGACAAGGUGACAGGUGGUGCAUGGUUGUCGUCAGCUCGUGUCGUGAGAUGUUGGGUUAAGUCCCGCAACGAGCGCAACCCUUAUUACUAGUUGCCAGCAUUUAGUUGGGCACUCUAGUGAGACUGCCGGUGACAAACCGGAGGAAGGUGGGGAUGACGUCAAAUCAUCAUGCCCCUUAUGACCUGGGCUACACACGUGCUACAAUGGCGUAUACAACGAGUUGCCAACCCGCGAGGGUGGGCUAAUCUCUUAAAGUACGUCUCAGUUCGGAUUGUAGGCUGCAACUCGCCUACAUGAAGUCGGAAUCGCUAGUAAUCGCGGAUCAGCACGCCGCGGUGAAUACGUUCCCGGGUCUUGUACACACCGCCCGUCACACCAUGAGAGUUUGUAACACCCAAAGCCGGUGGGGUAACCUUCGGGAGCCAGCCGUCUAAGGUGGGACAAAUGAUUAGGGUGAAGUCGUAAACAAGGUAGCCGUA